rnacentral:rRNA from 1 species
UACGUAGGUCCCGAGCGUUGUCCGGAUUUAUUGGGCGUAAAGCGAGCGCAGGUGGUUUAUUAAGUCUGGUGUAAAAGGCAGUGGCUCAACCAUUGUAUGCAUUGGAAACUGGUAGACUUGAGUGCAGGAGAGGAGAGUGGAAUUCCAUGUGUAGCGGUGAAAUGCGUAGGUAUAUGGAGGAACACCGGUGGCGAAAGCGGCUCUCUGGCCUGUAGCUGACACUGAGGCUCGAAAGCGUGGGGAGCAAACAGG